ACAGUCCCAUUGAGCAACACUUCAAUGAAUGCACCCCUCCAAAUUGAGAAGGCCAUGAAGAUGAAAUGAAAUAGUCUAGAUUCCCAGUGAAGUUGCAAGACAUCUUCUACCCCUCAACAGACUGUAUCUUCACCUCUAUCUGACCUUAUUGCUGCUCACAUUAUUUGUCUCAAGAUAAAAUCCCAAAACUCUGGAGGGGUGCUGCCUCACAAGAUGCAUCACCUGCUCAGUUGGGAACCAAAUUUGAGGUAAAUUCAAGGUGCCCUG
rnacentral:lncRNA from 1 species